rnacentral:rRNA from 1 species
UACGGAGGGUGCAAGCGUUGUCCGGAUUUAUUGGGUUUAAAGGGUGCGUAGGUGGUUUGUUAAGUCUGAUGUGAAAGCCCUGGGCUCAACCUGGGAAUUGCAUUGGAUACUGGCAGGCUAGAGUGCGGUAGAGGAUGGCGGAAUUCCCGGUGUAGCAGUGAAAUGCGUAGAGAUCGGGAGGAACAUCUGUGGCGAAGGCGGCCAUCUGGACCAGCACUGACACUGAGGCACGAAAGCGUGGGGAGCAAACAGG